rnacentral:rRNA from 1 species
AUUGAACGCUGGCGGCAGGCCUAACACAUGCAAGUCGAGCGGAUGAUGGGAGCUUGCUCCUGGAUUCAGCGGCGGACGGGUGAGUAAUGCCUAGGAAUCUGCCUGGUAGCGGGAGACAACGUUUCGAACGGAACGCUAAUACCGCAUACGUCCUACGAGAGAAAGCAGGGGACCUUCGGGCCGGGCGCUUUCAGAUGAGCCUAGGUCGGAUUAGCUUGUUGGUGAGGUAAGGGCUCACCAAGGCGAAGAUCCGUAACUGGUCUGAGAGGAUGGUCAGUCACACUGGAACUGAGACACGGUCCAGACUCCUACGGGAGGCAGCAGUGGGGAAUAUUGGACAAUGGGCGAAAGCCUGAUCCAGCCAUGCCGCGUGUGUGAAGAAGGUCUUCGGAUUGUAAAGCACUUUAAGUUGGGAGGAAGGGUUGUAGAUUAAUACUCUGCAAUUUUGACGUUACCGACAGAAUAAGCACCGGCUAACUCUGUGCCAGCAGCCGCGGUAAAAC